GAUGAACGCUAGCGGGAGGCCUAACACAUGCAAGCCGAGCGGUAUUGUUUCUUCGGAAAUGAGAGAGCGGCGUACGGGUGCGGAACACGUGUGCAACCUGCCUUUAUCUGGGGGAUAGCCUUUCGAAAGGAAGAUUAAUACUCCAUAACAUAUUGAUUGGCAUCAAUUAAUAUUGAAAGCUCCGGCGGAUAGAGAUGGGCACGCGCAAGAUUAGCUAGUUGGUGAGGUAACGGCUCACCAAGGCGAUGAUCUUUAGGGGGCCUGAGAGGGUGAUCCCCCACACUGGUACUGAGACACGGACCAGACUCCUACGGGAGGCAGCAGUGAGGAAUAUUGGUCAAUGGGUGCAAGCCUGAACCAGCCAUCCCGCGUGAAGGACGACUGCCCUAUGGGUUGUAAACUUCUUUUGCAUAGGGAUAAACCUACCCUCGUGAGGGUAGCUGAAGGUACUAUACGAAUAAGCACCGGCUAACUCCGUGCCAGCAGCCGCGGUAAUACGGAGGGUGCAAGCGUUAUCCGGAUUUAUUGGGUUUAAAGGGUCCGUAGGCGGACUUAUAAGUCAGUGGUGAAAGCCUGUCGCUUAACGAUAGAACUGCCAUUGAUACUGUAAGUCUUGAGUAUAUUUGAGGUAGCUGGAAUAAGUAGUGUAGCGGUGAAAUGCAUAGAUAUUACUUAGAACACCAAUUGCGAAGGCAGGUUACCAAGAUAUAACUGACGCUGAGGGACGAAAGCGUGGGGAGCGAACAGGAUUAGAUACCCUGGUAGUCCACGCCGUAAACGAUGCUAACUCGUUUUUGGGCUUUAGGGUUCAGAGACCAAGCGAAAGUGAUAAGUUAGCCACCUGGGGAGUACGCUCGCAAGAGUGAAACUCAAAGGAAUUGACGGGGCCCGCACAAGCGGUGGAUUAUGUGGUUUAAUUCGAUGAUACGCGAGGAACCUUACCAAGACUUAAAUGGGAAUUGACAGCUUUAGAAAUAGAGCUUUCUUCGGACGAUUUUCAAGGUGCUGCAUGGUUGUCGUCAGCUCGUGCCGUGAGGUGUUAGGUUAAGUCCUGCAACGAGCGCAACCCCUGUCACUAGUUGCCAUCAUUCAGUUGGGGACUCUAGUGAGACUGCCUACGCAAGUAGAGAGGAAGGUGGGGAUGACGUCAAAUCAUCACGGCCCUUACGUCUUGGGCCACACACGUAAUACAAUGGCCGGUACAGAGGGCAGCUACACAGCGAUGUGAUGCAAAUCUCGAAAGCCGGUCUCAGUUCGGAUUGGAGUCUGCAACUCGACUCUAUGAAGCUGGAAUCGCUAGUAAUCGCGCAUCAGCCAUGGCGCGGUGAAUACGUUCCCGGGCCU
rnacentral:rRNA from 1 species